GACGAACGCUGGCGGCGUGCCUAAUACAUGCAAGUAGAACGCUGAAGGAGGAGCUUGCUUCUCUGGAUGAGUUGCGAACGGGUGAGUAACGCGUAGGUAACCUGCCUGGUAGCGGGGGAUAACUAUUGGAAACGAUAGCUAAUACCGCAUAAUAGUAGAUGUUGCAUGACAUUUGCUUAAAAGGUGCAAUUGCAUCACUACCAGAUGGACCUGCGUUGUAUUAGCUAGUUGGUGGGGUAACGGCUCACCAAGGCGACGAUACAUAGCCGACCUGAGAGGGGGAUCGGCCACACUGGGACUGAGACACGGCCCAGACUCCUACGGGAGGCAGCAGUAGGGAAUCUUCGGCAAUGGACGGAAGUCUGACCGAGCAACGCCGCGUGAGUGAAGAAGGUUUUCGGAUCGUAAAGCUCUGUUGUAAGAGAAGAACGAGUGUGAGAGUGGAAAGUUCACACUGUGACGGUAUCUUACCAGAGAGGGACGGCUAACUACGUG
rnacentral:rRNA from 1 species